rnacentral:rRNA from 1 species
AGUGAACGCUGGCGGUAGGCCUAACACAUGCAAGUCGAACGGCAGCACAGUAAGAGCUUGCUCUUACGGGUGGCGAGUGGCGGACGGGUGAGGAAUACAUCGGAAUCUACUUUUUCGUGGGGGAUAACGUAGGGAAACUUACGCUAAUACCGCAUACGACCUACGGGUGAAAGCAGGGGAUCCUCGGACCUUGCGCGAUUGAAUGAGCCGAUGUCGGAUUAGCUAGUUGGCGGGGUAAAGGCCCACCAAGGCGACGAUCCGUAGCUGGUCUGAGAGGAUGAUCAGCCACACUGGAACUGAGACACGGUCCAGACUCCUACGGGAGGCAGCAGUGGGGAAUAUUGGACAAUGGGCGCAAGCCUGAUCCAGCCAUACCGCGUGGGUGAAGAAGGCCUUCGGGUUGUAAAGCCCUUUUGUUGGGAAAGAAAAGCAGCAGGCUAAUACCCCGCUGUUCUGACGGUACCCAAAGAAUAAGCACCGGCUAACUUCGUG